rnacentral:misc_RNA from 1 species
GGGGACUUUAAUGCACUGCUAUCUAAUGAUGAGAAGAAGGGUGGUAGUGAUAGAAAUAGUGCUUACUGUAAUUUCUUUUGGUGUUGGUUUGAUUCUGCUGGUAAGAUUGACUUGCGUUUUACAGGGGCCAAGUUUACUUGGCGAAAGGGUUUGCUUUUUGAAAGAUUAGACAGGGCUUUAUGUAAUAAGGUGUGGUACGCCAAAUUUAAUGGAACAGUGGUGUCUUAUCUAGCUCGGGUUAA